rnacentral:rRNA from 1 species
CCCUUAGAUGUUCUGGGCCGCACGCGCGCUACACUGAUGCAUUCAACAAGCCUAGCCUUGACCGAGAGGUCCGGGUAAUCUUUGAAACUGCAUCGUGAUGGGGCUAGAUUAUUGCAAUUAUUAAUCUUCAACGAGGAAUGCCUAGUAAGCGUGAUUCAUCAAAUCGCGUUGAUUACGUCCCUGCCCUUUGUACACACCGCCCGUCGCUCCUACCGAUUGAAUGUGUUGGUGAGGAGCUCGGAUUGGCAGCAGUUGGUGGUUCGCCACCGGCUAUUGCUGAGAAGUCCUCCAAACCGCCUCAUUUAGAGGAAGGAGAAGUCGUAACA